CCUUCAAACUGUCGCCCCGGCGGCAUUAGUUGCCUCUCUGAGGCGGCGACACUGACAGUCUGGCGGGAACUCCCUGGGGCAAAUCCCCGGGGCCACCCGCAGCCGACCCUAAAAGGUCGGCCCACAGGCUAGAUGUCGGUGGGUCUGGGGCGCAGCGCCCCCGGGCUUCUGAUAUAGUCGACUCCCCGUGGAGACGCGGGGUGAGUCAAGGUCCGUAGGUGAACCUGCGGAAGGAUCAAU
rnacentral:rRNA from 1 species